GGAGAGAUGGCCGAGCGGUUUAAGGCAACGGUCUUGAAAACCGUCGUGCCGAAAGGCACCGUGAGUUCGAAUCUCACUCUCUCCG
rfam:Candidatus Magasanikbacteria bacterium RIFCSPHIGHO2_02_FTLL_45_10 rifcsphigho2_02_scaffold_68754, whole genome shotgun sequence.